GGGAUUUUAGUUUAAUGAAAACACUAACCUUGCUAAUUAAAAAUAUAGACUCCUCCCUAUAAAUUCCA
rnacentral:tRNA from 1 species